CGUACACUAGAGAAGAAGAAACCAGAACCGAGCCAGGUCAGGCGAGGGGCCCCGGAGCAGAAGGUGCUUUUGGGGGAAAACCGAAGAACGCGAGAUGCCACUCCCUAAAGCCCACAGAGGACAUCAGGGAACCACGACACGGCUCGUCCUGAAAUCUCUGUGAAGCAGCUAUAUGGUCAAAUACAGGUAUUUCAAGUCUUCAAGGAGUCCAGAAGAACCACAGAGGAGUCCAAUUUGAGAUGUGCCAACUGCGGGAUUCAUAACAGGACAAUCAAUCAGCAUAACCAUGAAUCUGUGUCCUAUCUCCUCCAUAUCUACAUCUGCUUUCACUUCACCUGAAGCCAAGAGGCAAAUAUUUUUUUGAAAUCCAUCUACCCGGUUUCACGCACUUACUCACUUGAUAAACCCAACCCGGCUUCUCUUGCCGGUCAGCUUCCCCGCCCGCCCCGAGGACCUCACUGUCCUUUUCCACGGUGACUGCAUCACACUGUUGACAAGACCCCAGGGGCUGCGUCACCCUGACUUCUCAACUGCCUCGCGAUGUGACCUGGGCAAGCCUCUGCCCUGAAACUCCCUGCCUCACCUCCGCACUGGUGGGCCCAAGAACAGCCACCUAACGCAGAUGUAGGGACCAAAUGGGGCGGCAUUCAUAAAAGUCCCCGGCAAAGUGCCAGGUCAUGGUGCUACUGUCACUGGACUCCUGGACCAAUGCCCUCCGCUGACUGACUUUGAAAGGUCUGGGUUCAAGACCCUGAGGGAGAAGAGACAGCAAACAAGGAAGACAAAUACCCAUGGGGUACAACUCAGCUUCCAAGUCAAACCUUCUCACUCACUGGACUAAAUGGCCCUCAUGAAUUAUGACCCGGGGGUCUGUGAAGGGGCCGUGAGGAUAGAAAUCCUGCGAUCCCGGACAGGAAGGGGAUGAACACAAAAACUCUGAGACAGAAAAAUGUAGGGAGGCUGUGAGUGAUCAAAGACAGUCCCAGCAAUAUGAAACUCAAGCUGAAACCAGUUUAAGAGGACUGUUUGGUCAGCUGCGGCAUACCCUCCGACUAGAUGUCAACAAUUAAAAAACGGCUUUUGUCGUUCUAGCAUAAAAUUUCAGGCAAUUAAGUAAAUGGACUACCUCACUGACCAGUCAUCUCUGAAGCUUUUUUUUCUUUGGGGCAUUCUGCACGGUCCCAGAAUUUUGGACACACUCAGUGAACUUGCUAGAAACUUUGAUUAAAAAAAAAAAAUGGUGUUAACCAAGAUGUAUUCUGAGGCCGAAGUUACCUCAAAAUAAUGCGAACCUCUUUGCCCUACGUUAGCCACACUCCCGAAAGCUCCCCGAUCUGGGACGUCCCCAGGCAGGGACCCUGGCUUAGCUGCUUACCGUCGGCGGCGCUGAAGUACUCUGGGUUCACAGAAGCAUACAGCACUCCAUUGCCCAGCCUGCUGUUAUUCCUGUCAAAGGGAUAAAAUUCAGGUUAAAAAACCCCAUCUCCGCGCGUGUCAUCUUGGCGCUCUCAGUUCUCUCUGUCCUGUUUUGUGAGGGGCAUCCAGAGGAAGGGGGUGUGGGUAACUCCUUCCUGCCGCUCUCACCUACGCUCUGUCAUCGGGCCCCAAAGCCAUCUUGCUAACACGUCCUUGGGCUUCUUCAGGGGCCUCGGGUUAAAGCUUUUAAGGAGACACUGGUUUCUUCACUUCAUCAGAAACGGGAAGGCCAACUGGCCAGAAGAGGCUGGACACUGGGUUUGGAAAAAUCUCUGCAUAUGUGAGCAGCGGGAUCCGUGAGCAAAGGGGUGGACCAUACCGGCCCCAAAUACGUUUUCUGUUGUUGCUGAAUCCUUACAAAAUGUUCUCUUUUUCCUGCAAGGAACCUUUGACGGGAAAAUUGGGUCACCCGUUCCGUAAAAUAUUCCCUCGAGAUCCUUAAGACGUUUUCCUUAACCUCGGGGUCCCCUCACCAGACCGCGCAGCCACCUAAGGUGUCCGAGCUUCCCCCGGAGUCACUCACCUUUUCCUGUGGAAGACGUACAGCAUUAUCACAAGCCCCCCCACUAUCAGCAGGACAGCGACGGGCAGAGCGAUGAUCAGGUGGAUGAAGUUUUCGUACGUUACUGCAGAAACAAGGGAAAUGACAAAAGUAUCACAAGGUGCACAGGCCGGUCGUUUUUUGUUUGCUUUUUGUUUUAGCAGCAAGAAUGAGAAAAAAAAAUCCCCGAAAAUUCCUUUACUGCCCUAUCGCAGACUAGGAAUUCUGAAGGUAAACAGUAUCAGAUAGAACAGCAAAACACUCUGAGUUAUUCGGGGGGAAAGAAAAAAAAAAAGAUAAAAUGAGUACACACAGAGGAGCAAUGAGAGUAACUCAUUUUUAAAGUACAGUGUACCCUGACAUAAUAGUUCACGUGGUGGGCUCAGGUAAAGUCAUCUUUGUGUGUAAUUUAAUGACUACUAGUGGACACACACACACACACACACACACACACUCAUGCACAUUUGCAAAAAUAAAAGGAAUGGAUUCUUAACUAUUUAGAGCCCAAGUGAUACUGACCCUUGUAUUUAGAUCAUAAAUGUAUUAUUUAAUCUGUUUGGUAUGAAGCUGGUGUCCUAGUAAGCUCUGUUGACCUUUAUCUGUCUUAAGAAAGUUCCAGAGAUGAUUUAAAAACACCUAACCGUAUGGCACCCCUGGCCAAAGUUGUUCUGAAUUCUCCCCAGACAUUCAGGUACAGUUACAAGCCUGACCGCCACACCUGCUCAUCCCUGUCAUCAGCACUCAGGUGACAGGUGGGCACCUGGGACGCUGCUGCGCAGCCUCGAAGACUCUGCUGGAUACGGGAAGUCACUGUGUUCUCAGGGAGCACCGACACCGAAAAGGUAGACUGCCCACAUUUUGCAAGGAUGCCCAUGUUGCCAGGACAUCGAAAGCAAGGCAGAGGAGAGAAGGGAGCCAGGGAAGCUUUCCAAGCACAGAGGAAUGGUUGGAGAUGACACUGGGGAGAAGCAAGGUUGGCUCCCAAUGGGCCUGUUCAACCCAAGCAGUUCGAACCUCAUUCUGCAGAUGAAAGGGAGCCAGUGUGAGCUCUUGGGCCCCACAGUGAACGGAGCACAUUUGUGUAUGUUGGGACAGCAGUGCUGGAGGACAGUCUGUGCGGGGGCUGGUGGCAUGGAGGAGGCACGGCCACAUCUCGGAGGGUGCCAGAGGGCAGGAGAGGAUCUGGCUAAGUUCUGCAUUACCCAGCCCAGACCUCACAAGGAGACCAGUGCUCCGUGGCUACCAAGGAAGAAGACUCACAGAGAUGGACGGUCCUCCCCAGGGUCACACAGGCAGCUGGGAAGCCAUGGUCCUGGGAUCGUUCCUGCCCCCACAGCUCAGACCUGCCCCCCAUGGCAAGCACCCUGCAGGCUGUGAAAGGAGGCAGUGGUGGUGGCAAAAGGGGCUGGAUUUCAGGGACACGGAAGAGGUAGAAUCAAUGGGACUGGGGUUUGAAUGGCAAAUGGGUGGCUGGAGAGAGAGAGAGAGAGAGAGAGAGAGGAGAGAGAGAGAGAGAGAGAAGGAUGUAAGGUUCCAGGCUUGCAUGGGGCAUGGAUCAUGGCGCCACUGACUGACCUUGGGAACAAAGGACAGAGAGCUACUCGGAGGGCAGCAACCAUGACUUGGGUUCUGGUACUCAUGGGAGUGGGAGGCACUCAUGGGACCACCCAAGUAGAGAUGUCUAUAUGGAAAUGAUGGAACUCACUGGGGACCCAGGGACACCUAGUAAAAGUCACACAUCAGUGAUUAUUUUGCCACUAAAAAUCAUCACCAUUAUGACUCUUUAUGGAUUAUUAAUGCUAUUUUGAUUUUUUAAAUCAAGGACAUUUUCAUCAGAUCGUUCUCAACAUGGAUGGAUCUCCUGCACUUUCUAAUUCCCGAAAACACUCUCAAAUUAUCACUGCUGUUGGGAAACCAGCCAAGUUUUAGUUUUUCCUCCCAAGGACAACUUCUUACAUUCGUAUCACUUAGCCUACUGGUCAGGUUGUACCGUGUUCUGAGUUUCACAUUUCAGUGGGGACAUGGAGAAACUGGAACACAGCCGGAGAGGAGCACAAUGAUGAAAUGGCUAGAAAAUUGGUCUCUGUGACUGGGCAACAAGAAAAGGCCAAGAGACUGGAGAUUAUUUAGUCUGAAGAAGGAAAGUCUGAAGAGUCAUUUAAUAGCAUUCAAGCACAUGAAGGGUUCCUAAAAGGACAGUGGUUGCCAGAAAGCUUGCAAAGCUUCUGUCUCCUCUGAGGAUUAAACAAGAGGAAAAGAGACUGUGCGGUAGCAGGAGAGUCUUGUCCGACAUAGGGACAAAUAGUAAAGCAGGCAUGUAGAUUUCAUUUUCCUGCAGUACGUGCCAACUUCUGCUGGAAGGAGUCCAUCAGAGGGGCUCUCUGGGUUCCCAGUGGCAUCCCAGCCCUGCCAGGGUUAAAGACGGGGUAGCAAUGGCAGAGGGGAAUGUGUCCUCUCCGAAGAGAAGCCAAGUCAGCUAUUUCAAAGACUGCGGCCUGAUGCUACGCCGCUAAGCCUAGGCUCUGUUCCUACGGGAUCGAUGCAGAGGAGAGAGAAAAGAGGAGAAAAGAAAGCCAGCCACAGCUCUGGAGAGGGUUCUAGGCAUCACUGGGAAGGUUCUAGCACUGGACCGGGUGACAGAGGCUUGCUGGGGAGAGCAGGUUAGUGGGCCCCAUGGAGAAUUCAGACUCUUUGAGCUGAUGGAAUCAUCUGCCGAAGCUGUUUACCCCUAAAACCAGAACUCAGGCACAGUGCCAGGCUCAUCAAAUGCUACUUCAAGGUCUGCAGUCCUAUGCAGGUCGUUCUUCUUUUGAUAUCUGUACUAUUAGGAUUUUCAAACACCUGUCUUUGAUUCUUAGGUACUAACCAGGUGGAUAGCUGGAUUGGUUGAAUCCUGAAUUUUUAAAAACUGAGACGCUAGAUCAGGGUAGCCCAAAUGUGGACCCCGGGAGGGACCACAGACGUGAGGACCACCCACUGAACCCCAAAGUAGCACCAGUCAGCACGGUGGGCUGCUCUUUCAAGUGGGACAGUGAGGAACAGCGUCUGGCCAAACUGGAUCCCAUAAUCUGAACAGGAAAUCAUCUGAAAAACUGGGUUCCUAAUAAGAAAUGGAAACUCAACGUGGAAAUAACGAGGAAUAUUUGUGUCACCAAAUAAAAUACUGUGUUUUCUUGGCCCAGCAA